rnacentral:rRNA from 1 species
AGAGUUUGAUUCUGGCUCAGAACGAACGCUGGCGGCGUGGAUAAGACAUGCAAGUCGAACGAGAGAAUUGCUAGCUUGCUAAUAAUUCUCUAGUGGCGCACGGGUGAGUAACACGUGAGUAACCUGCCCCCGAGAGCGGGAUAGCCCUGGGAAACUGGGAUUAAUACCGCAUAGUAUCGAAAGAUUAAAGCAGCAAUGCGCUUGGGGAUGGGCUCGCGGCCUAUUAGUUAGUUGGUGAGGUAACGGCUCACCAAGGCGAUGACGGGUAGCCGGUCUGAGAGGAUGUCCGGCCACACUGGAACUGAGACACGGUCCAGACACCUACGGGUGGCAGCAGUCGAGAAUCAUUCACAAUGGGGGAAACCCUGAUGGUGCGACGCCGCGUGGGGGAAUGAAGGUCUUCGGAUUGUAAACCCCUGUCAUGUGGGAGCAAAUUAAAAAGAUAGUACCACAAGAGGAAGAGACGGCUAACUCUGUGCCAGCAGCCGCGGUAAUACAGAGGUCUCAAGCGUUGUUCGGAAUCACUGGGCGUAAAGCGUGCGUAGGCUGUUUCGUAAGUCGUGUGUGAAAGGCGCGGGCUCAACCCGCGGACGGCACAUGAUACUGCGAGACUAGAGUAAUGGAGGGGGAACCGGAAUUCUCGGUGUAGCAGUGAAAUGCGUAGAUAUCGAGAGGAACACUCGUGGCGAAGGCGGGUUCCUGGACAUUAACUGACGCUGAGGCACGAAGGCCAGGGGAGCGAAAGGGAUUAGAUACCCCUGUAGUCCUGGCAGUAAACGGUGCACGCUUGGUGUGCGGGGAAUCGACCCCCUGCGUGCCGGAGCUAACGCGUUAAGCGUGCCGCCUGGGGAGUACGGUCGCAAGAUUAAAACUCAAAGAAAUUGACGGGGACCCGCACAAGCGGUGGAGUAUGUGGCUUAAUUCGAUGCAACGCGAAGAACCUUACCUGGGCUUGACAUGUAAUGAACAACAUGUGAAAGCAUGCGACUCUUCGGAGGCGUUACACAGGUGCUGCAUGGCCGUCGUCAGCUCGUGUCGUGAGAUGUUUGGUUAAGUCCAGCA